UAACGUUGCGUCCCACCGCCAGGAGCAGCAGCUACCUGUGUCCACCCCCGCCACCGGACACCAACGAAACCAGGACGAGCACGAUGACGAAGGCACCGUCAAAAGCAGUCGCUGAAGAACGCAUGGCGGCUUAGGAAGAGCCUGCACCAAUGCCAGAAGUGUGGCCAAGACUGCGGAUCCCAGUUUGGCCAAGAACUCAGUUGGUGGCUGAGGAGGAGGAGGAGGAGAAAUUUUAAUAGCUGGCGGUGACGAAGGCACCCGGUAAUAUUGUGCUCCCAUUCGGGCAUAAACAAAACCUAGAUCAGACUACCAAUUCCACGACACUAUUGGAAAGGAUCGCAACCUUUGAAAAGGAACUAACCAAGUCAAGGGCAAAUGAAAGGGAAGCAGAGGCCGCAAGGAAACCCGAGCGUGAGCAAUUUGAAUGAAUUGCUGCCAGCAGUAAGCGGAGCAACGACGCAGACAUUGAAUGAGAAUGUUCCCACCGGCAACCUGAAGUGACGCCAUCAUUAAAUGAACCAUUGCCCUCACAAUUUGAGUACUUGCUUGCCGGGCAAGCACUCCCCCUUGCUGAGGAGCGAGAUCUA